AAAAACUCCGGUGGUAUGAGAUGGACCCGCGUCUGAUUAGCUAGUUGGUGGGGUAACGGCCCACCAAGGCGACGAUCAGUAGCCGGCCUGAGAGGGUGAACGGCCACAUUGGGACUGAGACACGGCCCAAACUCCUACGGGAGGCGGCAGUGGGGAAUAUUGCACAAUGGGGGAAACCCUGAUGCAGCGACGCCGCGUGAAGGAUGAAGUAUUUCGGUAUGUAAACUUCUAUCAGCAGGGAAGAAAAUGACGGUACCUGACUAAGAAGCCCCGACUAACUACGUGCCAGCAGCCGCGGUAAUACGUAGGGGGCAAGCGUUAUCCGGAUUUACUGGGUGUAAAGGGAGCGUAGACGGCAGUGCAAGUCUGAAGUGAAAGCCCGGGGCUCAACCCCGGGACUGCUUUGGAAACUGUGCAGCUAGAGUGUCGGAGAGGCAAGCGGAAUUCCUAGUGUAGCGGUGAAAUGCGUAGAUAUUAGGAGGAACACCAGUGGCGAAGGCGGCUUGCUGGACGAUGACUGACGUUGAGGCUCGAAAGCGUGGGGAGCAAACAGGAUUAGAUACCCUGGUAGUCCACGCCGUAAACGAUGACUACUAGGUGUCGGG
rnacentral:rRNA from 1 species